UAUCUGGUUGAUCCUGCCAGUAGCCAUAUGCUUGUCUCAAAGAUUAAG
rnacentral:ncRNA from 1 species